GGUGGCCAAGGCUCUGCUCCUGCGGUACCACCCUCUGUUCUCAGCACUGACUGACAAACUCUUCUCUUUGCUUGAUGAUGCUGAUCUGGGUCCGAUGGCAGCAGACAGCUUCUCUCUGCUGAUGAGCGACACUGAGGACAUCCUGAACCGCAGCUGCCACGCAGACGUACGCAUCAUGUUCCGUCAACGCUUCUUUAGUGAAUACUCACCCAAGCUGGUCCAAAGCUUUAACUCCGCACCACAAGAGAAGAAGCCCAACUACUUGAAGGCUCUGUCUAACAUCAUCACUAAGCUCCCGAAGC